rnacentral:piRNA from 1 species
UCCAGAGUCCAUCCUUAGGAGGUGCAAGAGU